rnacentral:rRNA from 1 species
GACGAACGCUGGCGGCGCGCCUAACACAUGCAAGUCGAACGAGCGAGAGAGAGCUUGCUUUCUUGAGCGAGUGGCGAACGGGUGAGUAACGCGUGAGGAACCCGCCUCAAAGAGGGGGACAACAGUUGGAAACGACUGCUAAUACCGCAUAAGCCCACGGUGCCGCAUGGCACAGAGGGAAAAGGAGCAAUCCGCUUUGAGAUGGCCUCGCGUCCGAUUAGCUAGUUGGUGAGGUAACGGCCCACCAAGGCGACGAUCGGUAGCCGGACUGAGAGGUUGAACGGCCACAUUGGGACUGAGACACGGCCCAGACUCCUACGGGAGGCAGCAGUGGGGAAUAUUGCACAAUGGGGGAAACCCUGAUGCAGCGACGCCGCGUGGAGGAAGAAGGUCUUCGGAUUGUAAACUCCUGUUGUUGGGGAAGAUAAUGAGGGUACCCAACAAGGAAGUGACGGCUAACUACGUG